CAGGCCUCACACAUGCAAGUCGAACGGGUGCUUUCGGGCACUCGUGGCGCACGGGUGCGUCACGCGUGGGCAUCUGCCCUGGGGUUGGGCAUCACAGCGGGAAACUGCUGCUAAUCCCUGAUGCUGUCGUGAGUCCCAAAGCUUUAUCGCCCUGGGAUGCGCCCGCGUCGGAUUAGCUAGUUGGUGGGGUCAAGGCCUACCAAGGCGCCUAUCCGUAGCUGGUCUGAUCGGAUGAUCAGCCACACUGGGACUGAUCCACGGCCCAGACUCCUACGGGAGGCAGCAGUGGGGAAUAUUGGACAAUGGGCGCAAGCCUGAUCCAGCAAUGCCGCGUGAGUGAUGAAGGCCUUAGGGUUGUAAAGCUCUUUUACCCGGGAAGAUAAUGACUGUACCGGGAGAAUAAGCCCCGGCUAACUCCGUGCCAGCAGCCGCGGUAAU
rnacentral:rRNA from 1 species